rnacentral:rRNA from 1 species
UACGGGGGGGGCAAGCGUUGUUCGGAAUUACUGGGCGUAAAGGGCUCGUAGGCGGCCAACUAAGUCAGACGUGAAAUCCCUCGGCUUAACCGGGGAACGGCGUCUGAUACUGGAUGGCUUGAAUCCGGGAGAGGGAUGCGGAAUUCCAGGUGUAGCGGUGAAAUGCGUAGAUAUCUGGAGGAACACCGGUGGCGAAGGCGGCGUUCUGGACUGCAACUGACACUGAGGAACGAAAGCCAGGGUAGCAAACAGG